rnacentral:lncRNA from 1 species
ACAUCCAGGACCAGGCCCUCCUCUCAGUGUCUCUAGACCAGGUGUCACUCCUCUGCUGUUACAAACUCUAAGAUGCCCUGGACCCUAUGUUAUUCUCAUCCUAGACCUGCCUUCUUCCAUGGCCUGAACUAAGUCCAAAGUAGCACGUGCCUUGCUGUUUCCUCUCAAUUCUAAAAGAUUAGACUAAAAAGUGUGUCUUCCGCCUGUUCCUAGCUGAGUGUCGUCUCCAAUGGCUGUGCUAACUGGAGUCUCCUCCACACUCUGCCCGCCCCAUGGGUCAAGGACGCAAUCUGCAAGAACAAGCACGCACGCUUGGCUCUGAUCUGGAAUGGGCACAUUCAAGCUUCAGCAAAUGUAUCACUAUGUGCCUCUAGUUUCUUCCCCACUCCCUAAGGCUUCAACCUCUGAAAUUUAUGAGCUGCGAAACCUUCCUGGCAUAGAGAACUUCUCCAUGAUCGAUCUCUCCCAUCACAUUAUACCCUCUCACUUCGUUUUCACUUGUAGAGUUUUCUCCCCAAGCUUCGGUGAUGUCGAACUGGCUGUAUUUACUGGACUUCACUGUCUUCACAUGCUUUGCACACGGCUGCCCCUGCCUCUGAGGUCACGCAAGAUCGCUUGACCUCUUUCUCCAAUGACAGGCACCUCCAGGGCCUGAGCGAAACUGGUGGGUGCCACUCAAACAAAGGUUGAUUACAGAUUUGUUCCCCAUUUGCUUGGAGAGGUUGAGGCUAGCACUAGUGAGGAGUGUGCAAGUGGGUUUGUGUCUCUGUAUGGUUAUGUAUGUCCGCGUGCACGUGCCUGCACGCCUGUGUGCACAGCAUGUGUGUGUGCAAGAGCAUGCCCUAAACAUGCAUUUACAGACUCUGCAUCCAUCAACAGCAGGACCAAACUGCCCUUCUCAAAUAGUGGUGAGCUCCAC